ACUGCCCGGGCCGCGAGGCUGCUUCGGGUCGGCCAGGCCGGGGAAGCCGGCGGCCAGGAGCCCAGGGGCCCCACGGAGGACUGCUGCCGGCGGUCAGCUCCCCCAGGGGACUCGGACCGCCCAGAAUCGCUCGCUUACGGAAGAGGAGCCGGCGGGGCCAGUGCCUCUGCCCCCCCGUCCAGAGAGGCACAGGGCAGGUGGCCGUGACGGUGUCCCUUCCGCACGUCACAUCCUCAGCCCGCCGGUCAUACGGGAGCCGCGUGGGCUUUUUACGGAAGGACGUGCGGGUCCCUCUUCACCCGCCCGGCGCUCCUUCCCCCCGCGAGGGGCGGCGCCAGUGAGCGCGGCCCGGGAGCGCGGGUGUCACCUCCAGCGCCCGGCGCGCCACCCGUCCUCACCCCUCCCUCCCGGCGGGCCCCGAGUCCCAGGAGCCCCGUGCAGGGCCCCUCCCCCUCGAGCAGGUGGUCGGCCCCGCAAAAGCCAGUCGGCCGACGGACAAGUCGGUGCAAAUUCAGGGAACGUUGUUAAACUAUUGGGUUUUUCCCCCCAGUUUCAGGCACUGAACAGCCAGCAGAUUUAAGAAAUCUGGAUGACGAUGUGGAUACAGGAUUUGAUGAAAUUCUGGUCCGAGAGAUGUUGGAGCCAAAUAAAUCAUCAUUUCUUCAAACACAAAGACUCCCACCAACAUCGACAAAGACUCCGACAAAGAAAAAAAUCAAGUACACAUUUCUUAAAGCCUAAUUACAUGUGUUCCUAGAGGUCUGUGGUACAUAUGCACAAUCCCAUCAUGGUCGCAUUCUUUGAGGCCAGCUACUUCUGGGGCAAAAGCAGAUGGAGAUGUGGAUGAAACAGUCGUCCCAAACAUCUGCUGUAAUCUCCCCUAGACUGGGGAGGUCACACCUAGACAGGCAGAGACAAGUCCCUUUAUCCCGGCUGGUCUCUGGGUGCACGUGCAAGAAGGGCCUCGUGCUUGGGAUGCAGGUGGGGUUUAGCCACUGCGGGAACCCGGGGCGUACGGAAAUAGGAGCUUUCGACCACCCAGCACGUUUGAUGCUCACCUAAACCUCUGAGAGCAGGGCAGUGACUACGACCCCAUCCGCCAGGGGAUAAAAGUAAGGUCUGGAAGAGGACUGGCCCGAGGCCCCAGAGCUAGUAGUGAACAAAACAAUGUGCUUUCCCAAAGUGCAGCUUCCUGUGGUCCAAAUGCAUACAGAUAAGUCAAAUAGCACCCUGAGACCCAAGACGGAGCAUUUGACCCUCGCUCAGGAGAGAGCAGCAUGGCAGAAAUCUACAUGCAGCGCGUGAAAACGCAUUCAGCGGCAGGGACGUUCAGCAUUUUCUUGAAAUUUACAUCCAGAUGGAAGUUCCAAUACCUCAUGGAACAUCUGCUGAACAGCUGGGUUCAAGGAGGUCAGAUGAAGCCUGACUGUUUACAUACUAGGUGGCCAGAGCGCGUUUUCAGUAGAAGUUGAAAACUGUGUUAGCAUCCCGAGCUAAUGCUUUAAAGUACAGUAUGGAUGAAAACGUUCGCGGGAGUGUACAUUUAUGUUUUCCCUCAUUUUUUUCCAUGCUUUUCAUCAAAGAUGCAGACCUUGAUGAGAGCUAUCAAGUUGGUGGUCCUGAGGGUUACCGUGAGCUCUCAGAUAUUUCAUUAUCUCCGGACCCUGAGGACGAAAUUCUCAAUAACGGUAAAUGCAGCCGGGCAGGUCCCAGCCCGAGCUCAGACGAGGUGGGAGGACAGGAGGAUGUAGGCAGAGACGCCUCCUUCGUGGGGGAGGAACAGCGUGGUUGGAGGGUUGGAGAACGAUGCCGCUUCCGCCACCGUGACACCUCCCUGGUCAGGCAGAUUUCCUCCCUCCUGGGCACGGAGAAGACAAGAGGUGACUCAAAGACACAUUCCCGGGCCCAUCGAACGUCUCUGCAGGUGGCGCCCGGGAAUCUGCAUUUCAGCCCAUUCCCCAAACAGUCUUUCCAGUGAGCCGGCGGGCGUCUGGUGUUUGGAAGAUUGAACAGGAAUAGGGCUGCAGUUACAGUUAAUAUUUCUAACGCCUCUGGGUGCAUCCCACACAUUGACCUGUGCAAAUUGCCCAAUGGCCAGUGUGGUGUUUGCUGAAAGGCAACUUUUUAUUUCUAUCAUCCUUCUCUGCUAUUAAUUGAGAUUCUGGUUUAAGGAAGCGCUUGCCCUUUAUAAAUAUGUAUGUAUGUGCAUAUUUAAAUGUUUAUUCAUAUCCGUUCGCACUCACAAAUAUUUAUUCUAUCGGGUUUAGCACGCUAAUGUCAUUACUGUCGUGUCCAAAUUGCCCCAAAUUUGCUUUGGGGAAUCCUUCCAUUUGGUUCUUCUGUCCUUCUAAUGCCUCAUCCCUUCGGAGCACUUCCUUACGUUCUGGCACCACAAGUACUGCACCUGCCCCAGCCUAAGAAUCUGGUUUCUUUUACUGGAGAACUGAACUUAGAAACCAAAGGUGGCUGCCAGGUAAAUUCAGUGGAAUAGCAUUGCUUCCAGUCCCUCUCGGCAGACAGAGCUGGAAAACAUAUGAAGACACACAAACACACAUGCAGAUGCAGACUGAGACACAUGCACACACACACACAGAUGCACACGUGCACGCAGACACGCACAGACACCUCUGUGCUGACUUCUCAGCCUCCCUCCCUGCUUCCUUUGUUUCUCUGUAUAAACCAUGAGUUCACACGGGCACCUCUGGUUCCACUCCAGUAUCAAUUUCAGGGGCUCUUCUCGAAGCUCCUUCUCGGUACCACUUUGUUAGGAACUGGCUCCCACUUUCCACACAGAUUUAACUGCGUAGUCCUGGAGUUCAGAAUUGCUAUCCCUGCCCCUGAGAAAAUCCAGUCACCCCACAAGAGAACAAUAUUUUUCAUCGGUCCUUUCAUCUCUAAGUGUCAUUGUUUUCCGGUGUCGCCAGGGCCAUCCUCCCUGCCCACCGGGCACCCUGCAUGUGGCUCAUUUCUAAUACGUAAGGCUCCUUGUUACUGUUUGCUUUCCCUUGUCGGUUCCCUCAGCCUGUUAAUUAUAAAUACUUAUUUACAUCUGACCCUGAAGCAUCACUAUGGUUCUGAAAGUCACACUCUAGAAAAAGGAACACAGAAAACCCCCCCAGCCCAUCAUCCCACCUGUACAGGGGACCAGUCUCCUUACUUCCAUCUUCCUGUGUCUCCUUUUGCACAAAUGAGGAGAUGAGAGAUAUUCAUGUAUCCCUCCUUUGUUGCAUGAGGGGUACACACCAUAAAUCUCCUCUAGUCUUUUUUUCCACUUAACAAUGAAAACUGAAAAUCAGUCCACAUCCGUUAAUACAGAUCUCCCUCUAUUUUUCACAGCUGCAAAAUAUUCCACAACGUGUGUAAACCAUACUUAGCGCCCUGCUAUCUGUGUACAGUGUUUUCACUUGGUUCCAACCUUCUGCAGUUACAAACACUGCUGCAAUGAACAGCCUAGUGCAUAAGUAUUUUCCUGUUGUUGGAGAUGUAUCACCAGGGUAAAUUCUUUUUUUUUCUUUUUCUUUUUUCUGUUUUUUGCGUUACGCGGGCCUCUCACUGUUGUGGCCUCUCCCGUUGCGGAGCACAGACUCCGGACCCGCAAGCUCAGCGGCCAUGGCUCAUGGGCCCAGCUGCUCCGCGGCAUGUGGGAUCCUCCUGGACCGGGGCACGAACCCGUGUCCCCUGCAUCGGCAGGCGGACUCUCAACCACUGCGCCACCAGGGAAGCCCCUCCAGGAACGGUCACACUGACGGGCACCCAGCUCAGCACGGGCGGCCGGGAGCCUGGCCAGAGCCGCGACAAAGAUGCCCUCUUCCUCCCACGCCUUCAGCCUGAACACCCGCGAUCCAACAGCCCUCCCGGGACCCCCUCCCCCUCCAGCUGGAGACCCUUAGCCUCUGCGUCUUCCACCAGCAACGCGAGGACGCCGCCUCGUUAUACGAUGUUAUAUAAGACACAUUUCUUUGGAAAAGUAGCUGCUUCCUCACUUGUCACUCGAGAGGUUCCCCUCGCGGCCGGCUGCGCGUCUGAACGCUGUUGGAAAUGUUUGCUCAGCGGCCACUUCUCCUCAAGGGAAGACCUGAAAAUUGGACAUUUAUUCUUCAGUAAAAUCGAACAUCUGACUGUGCGAAGGCUCAGCCCUGAGGUUACAGGGCAUCACAGAGGACUUUCAGGGCCUCCUCCCGUCUCCUGGCAAAAUACUGUGAAGAUUCCACUACUUAAAGGAUAAACUGACGCUUCUGCUUCCGCUUGGGCUGCGAAGGUCAAGCGGAAACGGGGGCAGCCCAGCUCCUUCCCAGGCAGGGCCGUCGCAGGGGCCCAUGUGCUGUGAUGUCCCGGGAAGGGGGGCAGCGAGGAGGGGGCACAUGCGAGACGAUGCGAGGCCUGUGGUCCCGGAGGAGCCGUGCCCCGCAGACCCCCGCGGGGCAGCUGAGACGCAGGAAGAGCGGCCUGGAGACCCCAAGAGAAACGCUGGGCCCCUCACUCCCCUGGGGGCCGGUGUGUGCGGUCCUCUGUGCCCCUGCUGGGGACACGCAGGAAGCAGGCCCCCUCGCCCGCCGACCGCAGGGCGGAGGCUUGUCCGCGGGGACCCCUUCCCCCACGUACGGCUGGUGUCCCCGGCACACGGGCGGCAUCGUGCCGCGCCCUCCGGCCGUGCUCUCAGGGUUCGGAAAGCUUUGCAUUUCCGUGUUUCUAAGCGUCCCUCCUCCUCCUCCGCAGCCCCAGGCUGUGACCCCUCCGGCCCCGUCAGGGGCUCCCCGCUCCCGCCUGUGGUGCCGGGGUCACCGGGGCCCCCAGGGCUGGAGCCUUGGGUGGACCACGUCAGGCUUCAGGAUGCCCUCAAAGGGCCUGGUGCUCCCUUGAGGGGCCCAGGGGUCAGGCGCAGCUGCUCUGGGCGCCCAGCCUGGUGGGGUGACCCCAGCCAGCCCAGGCCUGCAGUCCGCAAAACAGAGCGGCCUUCCCCAGCCCCACCCUUCACGUCAGGGCAUCUAACGGAAGGACCGCAGCUCUCCGCCAGGUAGGGUGGGCAGCACAGGCUGCAGGACAGGGCGGCCCGUCAGGUGUGGGCGGAGGCUGAGACAGGCCACCCCUGGUCCAAGCAUCCCCGCGGGCAGCGGACCCGCAGGCCCUGCAACGACACGAGCCCAGCUUUGCGAGAGAGGGAUGAGCUGAGGGCUGCUCUGACGGCAGAGGCUCAUGCGCACGUCCGGUGGGGACAGAUGCAGGCUGUCGGGCUCUCUGGCGUCCCCCGGGGGGGGGGUUAGAUUUCCGGUGGAAACCAGAGAAUGUGUGAGAAAGCCAGUCGAAACUGCUUGUCGGCAGCAUGAAUCUGGGCUCCACGCAAGUUGCUACGCGAUUUUCCCUGGCUGCAUUUUUAUUAAAACCUUAAACCGGAAUAAAGGCAGAGAGAUACAAAUUUAUUUCUCUUCUUGAAGAGACACCUGGCAACACGUCCACAGAACGAUGAUCAGUCAGUCAAACUUCACACCAUUUGACUCAGUUUUCUGGAAAGCAGAGGCAUAUUUUCAGCGCGGAGCCGUGUGUGAUCCACGCCCCCCGCGCCCCAAGCCCCCGCGGGGCUGGGCGAGGCCGGCGGGGAGGCUGCGGCGGCAGGGCCCUGGCGCCGAGCGCCUUCUCCAGGCAGGCGGCAGGAUCUGACCCAGGGUUCCCGGGGGCCCAGGUCCCAGUGUACAGCUUUAGCACCUGGCGGCCCGCU